AAUCUUGGGAAGAAUAAGAUGAAAUUCCUUUAAGUGCUAUACAGUGCAAAGGGAACGGAACUGAAGUGUUCACCCAGAUGAUCCUCUUGAUGCAACUAGUGCCAACGGGCUAUACAAGGAAUGUGUACAUGAAAUGAACACAGUGGGUUGUUGGAAUAAGUGCUGUUGUUCCGUGGCUAUGCCCCAGGGGCGUGGAGAGACAAAACUUCAUCUCCUGUGAGACCCUGACCUCCCUUUCUAUUGACUUCCACUUCUGAGGUGACGAUGGGACCUACUCCACACUUUCAAGACUGGAGGAAAAUAGUAACACCAGUGACCUUUUGAAACCUUCAGCUUAGGAGGGGGGAAUCAACUUUUUAAAUGGUUGGGAAAAAAUGAUUUGCUGGGAUAUUUUUUCUUUGAGAAUGUCAGCUUCUUUUAUUGGUGCAGUUUGUAAGGGUGAUUUGGCUGAGGAAAUAACAUCUAAAAGGUUCCAUCAUAAAUAAGAUGGAUCUUGGAAGGGAAUUAUAAUCUCUUUUUAAAUGACUUUGAAAUAUUUAUUAAGCACCCACGUUUACACAACACUGGAGCCUGUAUGAAAAUUAAGCCAAAAUAUUAGGUUUGUAUUUGUCUAUUCUCUGUGGGAGGAAAAAAAAACUGCUCUUUUAUUCUCUCUUUGAAACUUGAAAUUGCUUUAGAUAUAGUUGCCUAGUGAUCUGACAUGUGUAAUUUUUAUUUCUGAGAGUGUUCCCAGCACUAAUUCUAUUAAUAACUCAAAAUGAUGAUGAUGGUGCUUUAAUCUUGUAUUUGAGUGCCUAGCCAACUAAUCCAGCUUUUGCUUAAACUAAUUCAGAAAUAUAUAUAAAUCAAUCUUCUGCUCAGCUCUGGGAAAGGAUAUUUUACAACUUUCUCUCACAUAAAGGCGUUACUAACAUCUAACCUAGGUAUUUCCUGCUGGUCUCUCAGAUGGUUUUCGUCUCUUUGGUCCUCCACAAAGUUGGACAAUAGCUCAUUACCAACAUCCAAAAACAAUCUCCAUGUAGACGAAACCUAAUAGAUUUCAAUUCAUGCAGCCUAAGGAGUCUUUCAACUUUUCCAAAUAUAAUCAGUUCUGCCAUAACAACUAUUUUAAUAAUGAGUUUUGACUAGAACAUUGUUAGGGAAUUAGGGGAACAUUCAUCUGACAACUUGAGCCUGUAAUAUACAACAUACCAUGGUGCCUCAAGAAACAGUCUGUGUAGUAAUAGAAUUUAUUAAGCACUUACUGAGAAGCAACAUAGCCUAAA